GACGAACGCUGGCGGCGUGCUUAACACAUGCAAGUCGAACGGAAAGGCCCUGCUUGCAGGGUACUCGAGUGGCGAACGGGUGAGUAACACGUGGGUGAUCUGCCCUGCACUUCGGGAUAAGCUUGGGAAACUGGGUCUAAUACCGGAUAGGAACCAUCUUUAGUGUGGUGGUUGGAAAGUUUUUUCGGUGUAGGAUGAGCUCGCGGCCUAUCAGCUUGUUGGUGGGGUAAUGGCCUACCAAGGCGGCGACGGGUAGCCGGCCUGAGAGGGUGUACGGCCACAUUGGGACUGAGAUACGGCCCAGACUCCUACGGGAGGCAGCAGUGGGGAAUAUUGCACAAGGGGCGCAAGCCUGAUGCAGCGACGCCGCGGGGGGGAUGAAGGCCUUCGGGUUGUAAACUCCUUUCGCUAGGGACGAAGCUUUUUGUGACGGUACCUAGAUAAGAAGCACCGGCUAACUACGUG
rnacentral:rRNA from 1 species